rnacentral:rRNA from 1 species
CCUACGGGCGGCUGCAGUGGGGAAUAUUGGACAAUGGGGGAAACCCUUAUCCAGCGACGCCGCGUGAGGGAAGAAGGUUUUCGGAUUGUUAACCUCUGUCAGCGGGGACGUUACUGACUGUAUCCACGGAGGAAGCCACGGCUAACUACGUGCCAGCAACCGCGGUAUUACGUAGGGGGCAAGCGUUGUCCGGAAUUAAUGGGUGUAAAGGGAGCGUAGGCGGGAUGUCAAGGCAGAAGUGAAAAUUAUGGGCUCAACUCAUAACCUGCUUUUGAAACUGAUAUUCUUGAGUGAAGUAGAGGCAAGCGGAAUGCCUAGUGUAGCGGUGAAAUGCGUAGAUAUUAGGAGGAACACCAGUGGCGAAGGCGGCUUGCUGGGCUUUUACUGACGCUGAGGCUCGAAAGCGUGGGGAGCAAACAGGAUUAGAUACCCCAGUAGUC